UACGUAGGGACCAAGCGUUGUUCGGAUUUACUGGGCGUAAAGGGCGCGUAGGCGGCAUAUUAAGUCAGCUGUGAAAUCUCCGAGCUUAACUCGGAACUGUCAGCUGAUACUGAUGUGCUAGAGUGCAGAAAGGGCAAUCGGAAUUCUUGGUGUAGCGGUGAAAUGCGUAGAUAUCAAGAGGAACACCUGAGGCGAAGGCGGGUUGCUAGGCUGACACUGACGCUGAUGCGCGAAAGCCAGGGGAGCGAACGGG
rnacentral:rRNA from 1 species